GGGAAUUAUUACAGAACACGCAAAGCAGAAGACAAGCGUCUUGGCCAUGGUGGGAUUCCUGACCAUGUCUCCAGAACCUUUCCGGAAUCCUACUAGCUGCACAGACUUAGUGACUCCUUAUUCUUCAAGACUAGAUCAUCUUGGUGAUAAUGGCAUUAAGAAAUGACACCACGGGCUGUUAAUCACUUCUGUCUCCUCUGCGAGGGCACUCAUUGACCUCGAUGUAAUUUCCUGGCCUCCCGAUGUCUCGGUGCCCCAGUGGCUGGUGAGAAGCACCCUGGACAUGAAUGUCUGUCCCCCCGAAGGUGGAAAUCCUAUCUUGAUGGUCUUGCCACUGGCUUAUCGGACUCUGUCCAGGUCUUGUUGCUAAUGGACACAGUUUUAGGGGUGCACGGCCAGACUCUUCAUCACGUGGGAUUAGUACUGCAUCGUAUCAUGAAGAUUCUAUCAGUCCGGUGCUACCAUGGUUUCCUUGCAGCCUCAUACCUCCUUCAAGCUCAUCCCAGAGGAAGUACCUGACCUCCUCAGUAAGACCACAGCCUUGCAAACUGGACCUUAUAAAGAAGGAAAGGAUGACCAGCAGGCUAGAGAUUCAAGGAGGAGUUGACGCCGAAGCUUGUGACUGAAGGCAGUCUGCUGGCAGAAUUCCCUCUUCCCCGAGGGAGAUCAGUCUUUACCUUAAGGCCUUCAACUGAUUAGAUGCAGCCCACCCACAUUAUGGAGAGCAAUCUGCUUUGAAGAAAGUCUAAAUGUUAACCUUAUCUGAAAAGUACCUUCACAGCAACUUCUGGAUGUGUUUGAUCAAAUAUCUGAGUACUAUGGUCAAGCCACAUUGACACGUACAAUUAACUAUCACAGCAGCUAAGGGUUUUAUGGAAAGAAAACUGGGGGGAAAGAAGAGGGGACUGAAACAACCUAUGGGGGCAUUUGGCUAAGAAAAGAAAAGCACUUUAGAUAAAUGAAAGAAACAUCCAGAACAGAGGGUGGUUCUUGCUAAACUCUCUGCUUGGGGGGCUACCCAGCAAAGCCACCUUGAAGGACAUGGUACCAUCAGGGCAGCCAUCUCAAAGUAAUCAUGGCAACAUGGUGUCUCUUUGGCCCAGAGAGGCUUGGAGGGUUAGCCGUAUCCAGCUGCCUUUGGUUCCUGUGUGUGCAGACAGCUGCGUGCCAGUUAAAAGAUCCAUCAUAGCAGAACUGAGGUAGCUCUGUACAGAAGGCUGCAGAGAUAACAAACCACUUGGGCUGCAGCUGAAUGGAUUCACUGCCAGGCCUCAGAAAGUUCUCGAGGACGUGGCCCUGAAUCAGCCAAGGAGUGCCCAACUUCACCCAAGCAGAGAGAGAGACACACACACAGCAGACCUCAAGUUUCACUGGCUGCAGACUUCAGGUGCAAGCACUAGCAGGUCCGCGUGCAAUUGGGUAGGUCAAGGGUGUUGCUUCUGACACGAGUGUUGAUCUGGCUUUGUGCCUGCAGGCCCCACGCUUGCCCUUCCAUUGUGUGGUUGCAUAAACCACGCCCAGGCACCAUCUUGGAGGGGAGUCGGGGAUGGCAGGCAGAAA